UGGGGAAUUUUGGACAAUGGGCGCAAGCCUGAUCCAGCCAUGCCGCGUGCGGGAAGAAGGCCUUCGGGUUGUAAACCGCUUUUGUCAGGGAAGAAAUCUUCUGAGUUAAUACCUCGGGAGGAUGACGGUACCUGAAGAAUAAGCACCGGCUAACUACGUGCCAGCAGCCGCGGUAAUACGUAGGGUGCAAGCGUUAAUCGGAAUUACUGGGCGUAAAGCGUGCGCAGGCGGUUUUGUAAGACAGAGGUGAAAUCCCCGGGCUCAACCUGGGAACUGCCUUUGUGACUGCAAGGCUUGAGUGCGGCAGAGGGGGGAUGGAAUUCCGCGUGUAGCAGUGAAAUGCGUAGAUAUGCGGAGGAACACCGAUGGCGAAGGCAAUCCCCUGGGCCUGCACUGACGCUCAUGCACGAAAGCGUGGGGAGCAAACAGGAUUAGAUACCCUGGUAGUCCACGCCCUAAACGAUGUCAACUGGUUGUUGGGAAGGUUCCUUCUCAGUAACGUAGCUAACGCGUGAAGUUGACCGCCUGGGGAGUACGGCCGCAAGGUUGAAACUUAAAGGAAUUGACGGGGUCAUAGCUGUUUCCUG
rnacentral:rRNA from 1 species